rnacentral:rRNA from 1 species
CCUACGGGAGGCAGCAGUGGGGAAUAUUGGACAAUGGGGGGAACCCUGAUCCAGCCAUGCCGCGUGUGUGAAGAAGGCCCUCGGGUUGUAAAGCACUUUCAGUGAGGAAGAACGCCUGGUGGUUAAUACCCAUCAGGAAAGACAUCACUCACAGAAGAAGCACCGGCUAACUCCGUGCCAGCAGCCGCGGUAAUACGGAGGGUGCGAGCGUUAAUCGGAAUUACUGGGCGUAAAGCGCGCGUAGGUGGCUUGAUAAGCCGGUUGUGAAAGCCCCGGGCUCAACCUGGGAACGGCAUCCGGAACUGUCAAGCUAGAGUGCAGGAGAGGAAGGUAGAAUUCCCGGUGUAGCGGUGAAUUGCGUAGAGAUCGGGAGGAAUACCAGUGGCGAAGGCGGCCUUCUGGACUGACACUGACACUGAGGUGCGAAAGCGUGGGUAGCAAACAGGAUUAGAUACCCGAGUAGUC